GAAAAUUCAUUUCCUUAACAAAGAGCCCUGGUUCUUCAUACGUUUUUGUUUCUCACUCCAAAACCUAACAGAAAAAUUUAUACCCAUUUCUCUUGUCUUCUGCCCUAAUUUCACCCUCCAUUGAUUUCUCUAUAACUCUUUCGCCGUCAAAACCUUUGCUUUAUCUCAGUAUUAAACGCAUCGUUCUCCAUUGGAUAAAUAUAUAUCAUAUAUACAUACAUAUUUUGGUGCAUACAAAAUAUAUAUGUGCCUUGGCGGUUAUACGGACGGUUAGGGUUUUUUUUGAUCCUUACGUGUUCUGGGUAUUCAUCAAUUUCAGGAGGGAGGUAGAGUUAGUUCUCUCUUUCUGGAAUUUCAUAUGUUUCGAGUGAUACAUAUUUUGUUCUGUUUCGAACCCUAGGCUGUGAAACUUGUAAUCUAGGGUUUUCAUUGUUCAACAUUGUCAUGGUUAUCUGCUUCUGAUUCUGUUUUUUUCCGUUAGAUUUUUGUUUUUUUUUUUUUUNNN
rnacentral:lncRNA from 1 species